rnacentral:tRNA from 1 species
GACUCAAUGGUUUGAUGGUAAAACGCCCAUCACGAACCCAGGAGGUCCUAGGUUUGAUCCCCGAUGGGGUCU